AUUAAGGUGGCAGAGCUUUAGUCAAUGCAAAAGGCCUAAGCCCUUUAAACAGGGGUUCAACUCCCCUCCUUAAUA
rnacentral:tRNA from 1 species